rnacentral:rRNA from 1 species
UAAGGUCCGGCUAACUACGUGCCAGCAGCCGCGGUAAUACGUAGGGACCAAGCGUUGUUCGGAUUUACUGGGCGUAAAGGGCGCGUAGGCGGCAAUUCAAGUCAGCUGUGAAAUCUCCGAGCUUAACUCGGAACGGUCAGCUGAUACUGCUUUGCUAGAGUGCAGAAAGGGCAAUCGGAAUUCUUGGUGUAGCGGUGAAAUGCGUAGAUAUCAAGAGGAACACCUGAGGCGAAGGCGGGUUGCUAGGCUGACACUGACGCUGAGGCGCGAAAGCUAGGGUAGCAAACGGGAUUAGAUACCCCGGUAGUCCUAGCCCUAAACGAUGAAUACUUGGUGUCUG